UACGUAGGGGGCAAGCGUUGUCCGGAAUCAUUGGGCGUAAAGCGCGUGUAGGCGGUUCGGUAAGUCCGCUGUGAAAGUCGGGGGCUCAACCCUCGAAAGCCGGUGGAUACUGUCGGGCUAGAGUACGGAAGAGGCGAGUGGAAUUCCUGGUGUAGCGGUGAAAUGCGCAGAUAUCAGGAGGAACACCAAUUGCGAAGGCAGCUCGCUGGGACGUUACUGACGCUGAGACGCGAAAGCGUGGGGAGCAAACAGG
rnacentral:rRNA from 1 species